rnacentral:rRNA from 1 species
GGACUACCCGGGUUUCUAAUCCCGUUCGCUCCCCUAGCCUUCGCGCCUCAGCGUCAGGUUCGGCCCAGGGGGCCGCCUUCGCCACGGGUAUUCCUGCUGAUCUCUACGCAUUUCACCGCUACACCAGCAAUUCUACCCCCCUCUACCGUCCUCUAGCUUGCCAGUCUAAAAUGCACCCUCCCCGUUGAGCAGGGAGAUUUCACACCUUACUUGACAUGCCGCCUGCGCGCGCUUUACGCCCAGUAAAUCCGGACAACGCUAGCAUCCUACGUAUUACCGCGGCUGCUGGCAC